rfam:Danio rerio chromosome 4, GRCz11 reference primary assembly.
GCAUUGGUCGUUCAGUGGUAGAAUUCUUGCCUGCCACGCGGGAGACCCAGGUCCGUUUCCCGGCCAAUGCA